rnacentral:rRNA from 1 species
CGCUAUCAUCCUACGGGAAGCAGCAGUGGGGAAUAUUGCACAAUGGGCGCAAGCCUGAUGCAGCCAUGCCGCGUGUGUGAAGAAGGCCUUCGGGUUGUAAAGCACUUUCAGCAGUGAGGAAGGCGGAGUCGUUAAUAGCGGCCUCGUUUGACGUUAGCUGCAGAAGAAGCACCGGCUAACUCCGUGCCAGCAGCCGCGGUAAUACGGAGGGUGCGAGCGUUAAUCGGAAUUACUGGGCGUAAAGCGCAUGCAGGUGGUUUGUUAAGUCAGAUGUGAAAGCCCGGGGCUCAACCUCGGAAUAGCAUUUGAAACUGGCAGACUAGAGUACUGUAGAGGGGGUAGAAUUUCAGGUGUAGCGGUGAAAUGCGUAGAGAUCUGAAGGAAUACCGGUGGCGAAGGCGGCCCCCUGGACAGAUACUGACACUCAGAUGCGAAAGCGUGGGGAGCAAACAGGAUUAGAUACCCUGGUAG